rnacentral:rRNA from 1 species
AGAGUUCGAUCCUGGCUCAGAGCGAACGCUGGCGGCGUGCUUAACACAUGCAAGUCGAACGCGCAGCAUUCUGUAGCAAUACAGGGUGUGGGCGCGUGGCGAACGGGUGCGUAACACGUGGAUAACCUCCCUUGAGGUGGGGAAUAACCCAGUGAAAAUUGGGCCAAUACCGCAUAACACAGCGAUGGCACAUGCUGAUGCUGUCAAAGGCGCAAGUCGCCACAAGAGGGAUCCGCGGCCGAUUAGCUAGUUGGCGAGGUAAUGGCUCACCAAGGCAAUGAUCGGUAGCCGGACUGAGAAGUUGGCCGGCCACACUGGAACUGAGACACGGUCCAGACUCCUACGGGAGGCAGCAGUGGGGAAUCUUGCACAAUGGACGAAAGUCUGAUGCAGCAACGCCGCGUGGGGGAUGAAGCUUCUCGGAGUGUAAACCCCUUUCGACCCGGAAGAAUGCCCGCAAGGGUAUGACGGUACGGGUAUAAGAAGCCCCGGCUAACUACGUGCCAGCAGCCGCGGUAAUACGUAGGGGGCCAGCGUUGCUCGGAAUUACUGGGCGUAAAGGGUCCGUAGGCGGUGUAGCAAGUCGAUAGUGAAAUCUCUGCGCUUAACGCAGAGGCUGCUAACGAAACUGCUGUGCUAGAGUGUGAGAGAGGCGAGUGGAAUUACGGGUGUAGCGGUGAAAUGCGUAGAUAUCCGUAGGAACAUCCGAGGCGAAGGCGGCUCGCUGGAUCACAACUGACGCUGAGGGACGAAAGCUAGGGGAGCAGACAGGAUUAGAUACCCUGGUAGUCCUAGCCCUAAACCAUCACGACUUGGGGUUUGCCCUGUACGGGGCAAGUCCCGUAGCUAACGCGUUAAGUCCUGCGCCUGGGGAGUACGGUCGCAAGGCUGAAACUCAAAGGAAUUGACGGGGGCCCGCACAAGCGGUGGAACAUGUGGUUCAAUUCGACGCAACGCGAAG